GAUUCUGGCUCAGGACGAACGCUGGCGGCGUGCCUAACACAUGCAAGUCGAGCGGGAUUAACCUCGGGUAAUUAGCGGCGGACGGGUGAGUAACGCGUGAGUAACCUGCCUAUGGGAGGGGGAUAACACAUCGAAAGGUGUGCUAAUACCGCAUAAAGUAUAUUAAUCGCAUGGUUGAUAUACCAAAGGAGUAAUCCGCCGAUGGAUGGACUCGCGUCCGAUUAGCUGGUUGGUGAGGUAACGGCUCACCAAGGCAACGAUCGGUAGCCGGACUGAGAGGUCGAACGGCCACAUUGGGACUGAGACACGGCCCAGACUCCUACGGGAGGCAGCAGUGGGGAAUAUUGCGCAAUGGGGGAAACCCUGACGCAGCAACGCCGCGUGAAGGAUGUAAGGUUUUCGGAUUGUAAACUUCAGCAAGCAGGGAAGAUAAUGACGGUACCUGAACAAAAGCCACGGCUAACUACGUGCCAGCCGCCGC
rnacentral:rRNA from 1 species